rnacentral:sRNA from 1 species
AUGGUGCUCGCAUUCGUAGAGGUGGCGGUGAACUCAGAAAGAACCACCGUGCCACGAGCCACGAGGGCGUACAGAAUCGCCAUCUCCGUCGUCGAUCCCCCUGCCGA